UAUUGAAAAAACAAGGGAUCCCAAUAACAUUCAGAACAAACAAUACUGUUCAGAAAAGACUAAGACCAGACAGAAAAACUGCAGACAAAUUCAGCAACGCUGGAAUAUAUCAACUCACCUGCAACUCCUGUCAGGCCCAGUACAUAGGACAAACAAGCAGAAACUUCCGAACAAGGUACACAGAGCACAUGAGAGCUCUAAAGAGUGACAGCACACAUUCAACUUUUGCAGAUCAUCUAAUGAACAAAAACCAUAACCCCACUAAUAUUGAAAACGAUCUACACAUUCUGAAAAACAGCAACAGUCUAUACCAACAAUUAACAAUAGAAGAAAACUACUAUAUACAAAAGGCCAUAGUCGAAGGGAAAAAUGUAAUAAACGAAUACACAACACUUUGCAAUAACACACUCUUCACUGCUCUGAGAGAACUGGCCAAGGACUCAGAACAGACAAGCACACACACGCAAUAGAACCACUUCCCCAUCACACACACAGACAUAAAUUAAGAACAGGAGUCGUCGUAAUUCGCGCUACGUUUUUCAUAGCCUCUCUCGCCACAUGCGAUACACCUCUCGCGACACGCGCGAACGGCAAGAUGGCGUAAUACCCGCGAGCCAAAACAAAGUGCCAAAGUUUUGUUUUGUGUAUGUAAAAGCGUCUCCACACCAUCCAACGAACUUUGCAGAUGACAUGAUGUUCGUGAAUAAAAACGGUGACAUAAGCACGGAGUAUACAUGUUGCAGACAGCAAAAAUAAUGCUCAAAAACAUUAUGUAACUUGCAAUAAAUAAGAUUAGAAAAGCCCACUGAUGAUGGUGAUAUUUGUCGCCGAAACUAGUAUGGGA